UAGAGGAAGUAAAAGUCGUAACAAGGUUUCCGUAGGUGA
rnacentral:ncRNA from 7 species